CCUACGGGAGGCAGCAGUGGGGGAUAUUGGACAAUGGGGGAAACCCUGAUCCAGCGAUGCCGCGUGAGGGAAGAAGGUUUUCGGAUUGUAAACCUCUGUGGAGGGGGACGAUAAUGACGGUACCCCUUUAGGAAGCCACGGCUAACUACGUGCCAGCAGCCGCGGUAAUACGUAGGUGGCGAGCGUGGUCCGGAAUUAUGGGGUUUAAGGGGUGCGCAGGCGGAAGAUCAAGUCAGCGGUAAAAUUGAGAGGCUCAACCUCUUCGAGCCGUUGAAACUGGUUUUCUUGAGUGAGCGAGAAGUAUGCGGAAUGCGUGGUGUAGCGGUGAAAUGCAUAGAUAUCACGAAGAACUCCGAUUGCGAAGGCAGCAUACCGGCGCUCAACUGACGCUCAUGCACGAAAGUGUGGGUAUCGAACAGGAUUAGAUACCCCUGUAGUC
rnacentral:rRNA from 1 species